rnacentral:rRNA from 1 species
GACUACAUGAAGCUGGAAUCGCUAGUAAUCGCGGAUCAGAAUGCCGCGGUGAAUACGUUCCCGGGUCUUGUACACACCGCCCGUCACACCAUGGGAGUUGGGAAUGCCCGAAGUCAGUGACCCAACCGCAAGGAGGGAGCUGCCGAAGGCAGGCUUGAUAACUGGGGUGAAGUCGUAACAAGGUAGC